GACGAACGCUGGCGGCGUGCCUAAUACAUGCAAGUAGAACGCACAGUUUAUACCGUAGCUUGCUACACCAUAGACUGUGGGUUGCGAACGGGUGAGUAACGCGUAGGUAACCUGCCUGGUAGCGGGGGAUAACUAUUGGAAACGAUAGCUAAUACCGCAUAAUAUUAAUUAUUGCAUGAUAAUUAAUUGAAAGGUGCAAUUGCACCACUACCAGAUGGACCUGCGUUGUAUUAGCUAGUAGGUGAGGUAACGGCUCACCUAGGCGACGAUACAUAGCCGACCUGAGAGGGUGAUCGGCCACACUGGGACUGAGACACGGCCCAGACUCCUACGGGAGGCAGCAGUAGGGAUUCUUCGGCAAUGGACGAAAGUCUGACCGAGCAACGCCGCGUGAGUGAGGAGGGUUUUCGGAUCGUAAAGCUCUGUUGUAAGAGAAGAACGGGUGUGAGAGUGGAAAGUUCACACUGUGACGGUAUCUUACCAGAAAGGGACGGCUAACUACGUG
rnacentral:rRNA from 1 species